rnacentral:rRNA from 1 species
ACCCUACGGGGGGCAGCAGUGGGGGAUAUUGCACAAUGGGGGAAACCCUGAUGCAGCGACACCGCGUGGGUGAGGAAGCGCUUCGGCGUGUAAAGCCCUAUCAGUGGGGAAGAAAAAGGACGGUACCCAAAGAAGAAGCACCGGCUAAAUACGUGCCAGCAGCCGCGGUAAUACGUAUGGUGCAAGCGUUAUCCGGAAUGACUGGGUGUAAAGGGAGCGUAGACGGUUGUACAAGUCUGAUGUGAAAGCCCACGGCUCGACUGAGAGAGUGCAUUGGCAACGGUACAACU